rnacentral:lncRNA from 1 species
GAAGUCAUAUAAUCUCUUGAACAUAGGGUGUGUUGUGAUAAAAAUUCAAAUGAAGAAUAGCAAAUGGGCCAAGUCAUGGUAGUAUAGAUAAAUUUCUAAAUUAUAUUUUUUUGAGGCACCUUUGGGGUUAUUUGUAAAAGUUCAUUUGUAAAGAUUCUGUCAAGAUAUGUCUGCUUCAAAGUUGUGAGAAUUUAAAUAAAUUGUUUAUUCACAUAAAUAGGAUGUUUGCAGCUUAAUUUUAGUUAAUUUUUUCUGCUGAAUUUUAAACAGGUAUUACAGGAAUUACUGAAGCAGUUAAGGAGAUUACACUGGAAAGCAAGGACAGUAUAAAACUCCAAGACUGCUCAGUGCUGUGCGAUGAAGAGGAGGAGGAAGAGGAAGGGCUCUGGCUGUUUGGCUAUGAUGAGCAACGGCAGCCUUUAACAGUUGAGCACAUGUAUGAAGACAUCAGUCAAGAUCAUGUGAAGAAAACAGUGACCAUUGAAAACCAUCCUCACCUCCCACCACCUCCUAUGUGUUCAGUUCACCCCUGCAGGCAUGCUGAAGUGAUGAAGAAAAUUAUUGAGACCGUUGCAGAAGGCGGGGGAGAGCUUGGUGUUCAUAUGUAUCUUUUAAUUUUUUUGAAAUUUGUUCAAGCUGUCAUUCCAACAAUAGAAUAUGACUACACAAGACACUUCACAAUGUAGUGGAGAGGAUAUAGAGUCUAUCCUAAUUACUGCUUCUGAUUUUUAAAGAAUUAAUACAUAGAUGUGACCAUUGACCAUAUUUACCAAUAAGAAUAAUUUCUCUAAUAAUGGGACUGAUAUGUUUAUGCAUUAAAUAAAAACUUUCUGCUACCAGCCUUAUUUGUUU